UGUGUCAAACAUACAUCACAGUUUACAAAUGCCUUCAGGAUAUCUUCAACAUGCUCAAACAGGAUACUUUAAACUUGCAUUUUUCAGCAAUGACAAUUAACCGAGAAUCAAACCAACACUAACCCUGAUCCGAUAGACCAUUAAACAUUUUGGCAAUUAGUUAGUUAAGUCUUAUACCCAAAUACCAAAAGUUAAAUUAGGUUUUAAAUAAAGAAUGAAGAUAAAUUCUGUGUCCAGGAAUAAUGAUGUGUGGAUAAUCGUAGCCAGAGCAUUUGAUUUAUUCUAGGCUGAAACUAAAAUCAAUGUCUUGUUAUUACAACAUCCCUUUUAUAAAUGCAAGAUUGUAGCCUCAGAUCCUUGUUUGCUACAGGAAGAAUAAA